AUUGAACGCUGGCGGCAUGCCUUACACAUGCAAGCCGAACGGCAGCACGGGUGCUUGCACCUGGUGGCGAGUGGCGAACGGGUGAGUAAUACAUCGGAACAUGUCCUGUAGUGGGGGAUAGCCCGGCGAAAGCCGGAUUAAUACCGCAUACGAUCUACGGAUGAAAGCGGGGGACCUUCGGGCCUCGCGCUAUAGGGUUGGCCGAUGGCUGAUUAGCUAGUUGGUGGGGUAAAGGCCUACCAAGGCGACGAUCAGUAGCUGGUCUGAGAGGACGACCAGCCACACUGGGACUGAGACACGGCCCAGACUCCUACGGGAGGCAGCAGUGGGGAAUUUUGGACAAUGGGCGAAAGCCUGAUCCAGCAAUGCCGCGUGUGUGAAGAAGGCCUUCGGGUUGUAAAGCACUUUUGUCCGGAAAGAAAUCCUUGGCCCUAAUACGGUCGGGGGAUGACGGUACCGGAAGAAUAAGCACCGGCUAACUACGUG
rnacentral:rRNA from 1 species